AAAAAAAAAGACAUCUUAACAUCUUUGGUACUUUUUUUUUUUUUUUAAGGGCCACACCUGCAGCACAUAGAAUUUCCUAGGCUAGGGGUUGAAUUGGAGCUACAGCUGCCAGCCUGCACCACAACCACAGCAACACCAGAUCUGAGCCGCAUCUGCAAGCUAUGCCACAGCUCACAGCAACACCAUAUCCUUAACCCACUGAGUGAGGCCAGGUAUGGAACCUGAAUUCUCAUGGACACUAUGUCAGGUUCUUAACCCACAGAGCCACAACAGGAACUCCUUAAAUUUUUUAAAAAAAGUUUUAUCAAAGUAUAGCUGAUUUACAAUAUUUUGAUAAUUUCUGCUCUAUGACAAAGUGAUUCAGUUAUACAUGUACACAUAUCCAUUCUUUUUCAGAGGGGCCAGUCCAACUCAAAGAAUCAUUUUUUUUUUUUUCCUUCUUGAAGGAGUUAGGCUCCUGUGAAUCCUACAAAGCCGAGGCUGCUGACCAGAGCACUCAUUCAAGUUAUCUGAGUGGGAGAUCGGAAAGAAGCCAAUCUUUUAACUGCAUGUACUGGAAUUAUUCAUCUUCAGAAUUCUAAAGCAGACUGAAUAGGAUCAGAUGGUGAGUGUCCUACAUUGCUGACCUAGUUUGUCUUCUUUCUGUUUAGUUUCCUUAUAAUUAUGAACUAUCAGAGCUGCUGAUGACUUCAAAAAGCAAUGUUUAUGAUUAUGUAAAAUGGAAUCUUAAGCUUCCCGUGGGUAUGUGGUCAUAGGAUUGUAUUAUUUUUCAACAAAUAUUUCCUAUUUUGGUGGAAAGUUUCAUAUUGCCCACUUUUAUUGAGAAAUGUUAAGUAACUGGCUUAAGAAAUAGCCUGUUGAAAAAGAGUUUUAUUUUGUGAAGGGUCACGGGUGACUUUUCAGAGCCUCUUCAUCUUUCACAAGAGGACUAUAAACUACCUUUCCAGCCUUGUUUCCUGACAUCAUUCUUCAUCUGUUCAUCUGUGCUACAACUGUGGACCUUCCAGCCAACACCUGAAUAAACUGUGUUUGCUCAGUGAGCCCUGACUUUGC
rnacentral:lncRNA from 1 species